rnacentral:rRNA from 1 species
CUUUUACAAUGAAGAGUUUGAUCCUGGCUCAGGAUGAACGCUAGCUACAGGCUUAACACAUGCAAGUCGAGGGGCAGCAUUUCAGUUUGCUUGCAAACUGGAGAUGGCGACCGGCGCACGGGUGAGUAACACGUAUCCAACCUGCCGAUAACUCGGGGAUAGCCUUUCGAAAGAAAGAUUAAUACCCGAUGGUAUAAUUAGACCGCAUGGUCUUGUUAUUAAAGAAUUUCGGUUAUCGAUGGGGAUGCGUUCCAUUAGGCAGUUGGUGAGGUAACGGCUCACCAAACCUUCGAUGGAUAGGGGUUCUGAGAGGAAGGUCCCCCACAUUGGAACUGAGACACGGUCCAAACUCCUACGGGAGGCAGCAGUGAGGAAUAUUGGUCAAUGGGCGCAGGCCUGAACCAGCCAAGUAGCGUGAAGGAUGACUGCCCUAUGGGUUGUAAACUUCUUUUAUAUGGGAAUAAAGUUUUCCACGUGUGGAAUUUUGUAUGUACCAUAUGAAUAAGGAUCGGCUAACUC